rnacentral:rRNA from 1 species
GACGAACGCUGGCGGCGUGCUUAACACAUGCAAGUCGAACGGAGUGGCGAAAGGGUGAGUAAAACGUGGGUGACCCGCCGUGCAAUUCGGGAGAAGACCGGGAAAACGGGUCUAAUACCGCAUCGUGUGGGAUGGGCCCGGGGCCUAUCAGCUUGUUGGUGGGGUAAUGGCCUGCCAAGGCGGCGACGGGUAGCCGGCCUGAGCGGGUGGACGGCCACAUUGGGACUGAGACACGGCCCAGACUCCUACGGGAGGCAGCAGUGGGGAAUAUUGCACAAUGGGCGGAAGCCUGAUGCAGCGACGCCGCGUGGGGGAUGACGGCCUUCGGGUUGUAAACUCCUUUCACCAUCGACGCGGUAGAUGGAGAAGAAGCACCGGCUAACUACGUGCCAGCAGCCGCGGUAAUAC